GCCCGGGUGGCGGAAUGGUUUACGCAGAGGACCUAAAAUCCUCGACCCGAAAGGGUUUGUGGGUCCGACUCCCACCCCGGGCACAA
rnacentral:tRNA from 4 species